ACGAACGCUGGCGGCAUGCCUAACACAUGCAAGUCGAACGGGGUCAUGGGGCUUGCUCCAUGACUUAGUGGCGCACGGGUGAGUAACGCGUGGGAACCUGCCCUGGAGUGGGGAAUAACGACGGGAAACUGUCGCUAAUACCGCAUACGUCCCCCUUUGGCGACAUUGGGGGAGAAAGGCUUCGGCCGCUCAAGGAUGGUCCCGCGUCCGAUUAGCUAGUUGGUGAGGUAACGGCUCACCAAGGCGACGAUCGGUAGCUGGUCUGAGAGGAUGAUCAGCCACACUGGGACGGAGACACGGCCCAGACUCCUACGGGAGGCAGCAGUGGGGAAUAUUGGACAAUGGGGGAAACCCUGAUCCAGCAAUGCCGCGUGAGUGAAGAAGGCCUUAGGGUUGUAAAGCUCUUUCAGACGUGACGAUGAUGACGGUAGCGUCAGAAGAAGCCCCGGCUAACUUCGU
rnacentral:rRNA from 1 species